GUUUGGAUAGCUCAGUUGGUAGAGCAGAAGCUUGAAAAGCUUUUGGUCGGCGGUUCAAGUCCGUCUCCAAACA
rnacentral:tRNA from 1 species